GGGCCUUUUGUGGGCCAGGAUAUCUUAAGGGGAGCGUUCUUAAAUACGUAAGUGCAAGGGUCAGGCGGCGGUGCACCUGGUAGCCUGCACAUUACCAUCCGCAAGGACCCAGGUUCAAGCCCCAGAUCCCAUCUUUAGAGGGGAAUUGUCACAAACUGUGAGGCAGCACUGCAGAUCUCUCUCUCUUUCUCCUUCUCUGUCUCCCCCUCUCUUCUUAAUUUAUCUUCGUCCUAUUAAAUAAUAAAGGAAGAAAGAAAGAAAAAAAAAAGGAGGGCAAAAGUGGUGGGUUUAUCAUGCAAGUACUGAUCCCUAGCAAUAACCCUGGUGCGAAAAAUAGGAUAAAUAAUUUAACACAUAGAUGUACAAGAUUGAAAAAUGGGGGCGAUACAUUUAUUGAGCCAGAUUUUUCAAGGGGAAAAGUAUACAUUUGCAUAGAACUUUUUUUUAAAGAGGCUAAUAGGAUAUAUAUCCUGAGCUUAUGAAACUAGGUUCUCCUUUCAUUGAUAGUAUCCUACUAAAUAUAUAUUGCUAGUAGAAUGAGGAUGCUCUAAAAUGUACUUUUGUGAAGGGGUUAAUUAAUGGAGGUAAACAUUUUCUCCUCUUUUUACAUUAUUAUUAUUAUUAUUUUACUAGAACACUGCCCAGAUCUGGCUUAUGGUGGUGCGGGAGAUUGAACCUGGGACCUCAGAGCCUCAGGCAGGAGAGCCUGUUUGCAUCACUGUUAUGCUGUCUCCCCCACCCACUCUCGAUGAAGUAUGUUUUAAUAUAGGAAGCAAAGAUGAGUACUUUGCCAGAGUAGAGUGAAUGAUAGCCUUGCUGCUAAAAAUAUCAGGUCACUUAACAAGUACGUGCAAGCAAGUAAGUGUGAAAAUCUUUGUUGGGCCAUUUAAAAUUUUUAUUCCGAUGAUUCUUCUUAGAGAUACAGAGAGGAAAAGAAGGGAGAGAGAAAAGAAGAAAGAAAUGGAGAGGUGCCAUAGUGUACUGUGUCCCCUAUGCCUCUGCGGUGCUCCUGGGUGGCACUGGGACUUGAAUUUGAGCCUCUCUCACUCAUGGGAAGGGAUGUGCCCUACACUAGCUCUCUGGCCCAUUUUUUUCUGGUAUUCAGGUAUAAGUUACUUAGUAGGUAAAAUUCUAUGUAACUGUAAGAUGGGUUAAAAGUCAAUGCUUGAAUGGGAUUUUGGAUUAAAUGAACUCAUAUUUUUGCAAAUAAAUAAAGAUCUAAAUGGGCAAAAUUACUCAAUAAUUUUGAUGUUUGUUUAUUUAUUUUUGCCUCCAGACAUAUCACUGGGGCUCAGUGCUGACACUAUGAAUUCACUGCUCCUGACAGCCAGUUUUUCCUCUUUUUUUUUUUUUCCCUUUCUAUUUUUAUUUGACAGAACAGAGAGAAACUGAGAGGGGAAGGCAAGACAGAGAGGGAGAGAAAGAUAGACACCUGUAGACCUGCUUCACUGCUUGUAAAGUGUCCUCCCUGCAAGUGGGGAACUGGAGGCUUAAACCUGGAUCCUUGCAAAGGUCCUGUGCUUAGUACUAUGUGCACUUAACUUAGUGUGUUACGGCCCAGACCCUGUCAAUAUUUUUUUAUCAAUAAUUUUUAAAUAGAAGUUUUGGCCUCAUUUAGUAAUAUAAGUAUGAGGCAUUAGUAAGAGAAAAAAUAAGUUUUAAAUAGAAAAAAAUAAAGUGAGGAGAAAGACAGAAGUCACUAAUAAAAUAAAAGAGGUGAUUUCUUUAAUUUUUUUCUUAAA